CAGGGAGACAACAAAAUGUUUAAUAUUAUUAUUUUGUCACCUUAGGUCGAUCGGUAUCUCACGUUUUUAAUUUAUUAAGAAUUUCAUUUCCUAAGUUUUUCUAGGUCACACCCAUUAUUUUUCCUGGGCCAUUAGCUCAGGUGGUUAGAGCGCACCCCUGAUAAGGGUGAGGUCCCUGGUUCAAGUCCAGGAUGGCCCAUAUCUCUAUGUUGGGGGUAUAGCUCAGUUGGUAGAGCGCCUGCUUUGCAAGCAGGAUGUCAGCGGUUCGAGUCCGCUUACCUCCACUGAUCACCACCUCUUCCAUAAUCGGUAGAAAGGAAAUUUUUUGAGUUGUGAUCAAAUUCUGAAAGAAUCUAGCUUCCUAAUGAAAUCAUUAAGAUGCUGGACUCAUUGAAUUAAUUUCAUUGUUUUCAGAGAACCUUGACAACUGCAUAGAUUAUUUUUAAAGACAAUAAGCAUCUUUAAUGAUGCAGAUUUAUUAUUUGUGCAAAUGCAUUAAUAACAAUUCUAUUAAGCUGAUGCUUCAAUUUUUGAAGUUAUU
rnacentral:tRNA from 1 species